rnacentral:tRNA from 1 species
GCCCGGGUGGUGGAAUAGGUAGACACAGCAGACUUAAAAUCUGCCGGCCGUAUAAGGCUGUGCCGGUUCGAUUCCGGCCCCGGGCACCA